rnacentral:rRNA from 1 species
CAAAAACAUAGCCUGAUGACACCMACAUAUUAGGURAUUUCUGCUCAAUGAUCUAUAUUAAAUAGCCGCAGUACCCUGACUGUGCAAAGGUAGCAUAAUCAAUUGACUUCUAAUUAGAGUCCGGAAUGAAAGAAUAUAUGAGGGGUAAGCUUUAUCAUUUAUUGGGAAAUAAGUUGCUUAGAGGGUGCAAAUUCCCUCGCACAAAUAAUAGACGAGAAGACCCUAGAAAUUUGUACCGAGAUUUUGUUGGGGCAACAUAGUAACAUUAAUCAAACUUACUAUAUUUUACUGGAAGUAUUACGGAUUGAAAAAAUUACUCUAGGGAUAACAGCAUAAUACGGAAGUGUUUGUGACCUCGAUGUUGGAUUAAGAAGUUGUAGUUUAGAAAAUAAUCAUUACGCUCUGUUCGAGCA